CAAUGCCCAAUCUCCACUGACCAAUUAAUAAGUUCCAUUGCUGUAUAUGGGUUGAUGCCACGCUCAAGUGGCAGUCAUUGUAUCAGCAUUUUGUCUAAUUUAUGUGUUGAAUCAUGUGCUAUUAUUCAUCAAGCUAUGCAUUUCCUAUCUGUAAGAGAUGAAUUUUAUAGUAAUUAUCCAGACAAGAUUGAGUCUUUGUUCAUGUUCCCAUAGUAACUAGACCAAGGAUUCUAAAAGUGCAAGGCAGAGAGCUGCGCCUGAAUAAAGCCUGUGGAACCGUUGCCGACUGCACAUUUGAAGAGCUGUGUGAGAGAGUGCGUAUAAUUUGCUCUGCGUCGACUCCUAUAUCAAGCUUAUUUUUGCAUCAACAUCAUGACAGUGAGUUGGAGCAAAGCAGAAUACUGAUGGAUGAUUUGGGGCUGAGCCAGGUAGGUGACAUUAACAUAAUCUCUUUUUAUUAUAAAAUAGCUUAAUUGUUUUUGGUUUGAUGCAUGGCUACAUUUUGAAGAAGAAAUGCAGUGUAUAGUUAACCAUUGAUUGGCUGCUUCUUCUAUAAGCUCGUGUAGCAAAUUUAUCAUUCUCAAUAUCACUAAAUAUAGAAAAUUAUAAACUUACAGUGGAAGGAACCUUAGUGGUCAUGUAGUUCAGUGCUCCAUUUUUGCAUGUGAGAAAAAUGAAGCCCACAGAGGUGGACUAAGGUGCCCACAGUCACACCGCUGAAUAAUGGCAGGCCAGAGCUGGAUGCCAAGCCACCUGUGACUGGUUCUGGGCUUGCUCUGCUAUACCAUGCUGACGUUUCUGGAUAUCUUUCUAAAUGAUUGCUGGAUUUGUAGAGUGCAUGAUACAGUAUCCAAGCAUGUAGCCUGGCUAGUCCAGGACCAUGGAGUGCCUAGCAAGGCCCCGGGCUUGAAAAGAAAUCCCUAACUAAUCUCCCAACCUCCAUUCUGCAAACAUUUAUGGAGUACCUGUGGGUGCCAGGCUCUGGAGACACUCUGUAGGGAACAAACAGAUGCUAGCCCAGUUCUCCUGGAGCUUGGAGUCUGGUAAUUCACCCCAGGCCAACCAAAAGUGACUUUGCAUUUUCUUCUUCUAUAAGAAUGUUACAGGAUGUGUUUCUCAACUAUCGACAACUGAAAAAUUAGUCAAAAGUUUACAACUAUCAACACUCACCCCAUAAGGGGAGCCCAAUUCUUCCAGCCCCACAGGUGAAAGACCGUCUGGAACAAGGAAACAAUUCCUUAUCAACCUGAGUAGAAAUGAGGCAUUUUCAGGAGUUUGGGAGAACGAGGCCAAUUUAAAAAGUGAACUUUCCAAUAUGAUGACUUAAACCUGUGUAUGUCUUAGUCUGCUAUAACAAAACACCAUGAACUGGGUAGCUUACAGACAACAGAAAUUUAUUUCUAACAGUUCUGGAGGCUAGGAAGUCCAAGAUCAGGGUGCCAGAUUUGGCAUCGGAUGAAGGCCCACUUCCUAGUUCAUCAGCCUCUGUCUUUUUUGUAUAAACCUCACAUGGUGGAAGGGGUGAGGGAUCUCUCUGGGGCAUCUUUUAUAAAGGCAUUAAUCCCAUUCAUGAGGGCUCCACCCAUAAGACCUAAUCAUCUCCCAAAGGGACAAAAACAUUCAGUAGCCUCCAAUACCAUCACCUUAUGGGUUAGGAUUUCAGCAUAUGAAUUUUGGAUGUACAUAAACAUUCAGAUCUAAGCUAGAACAGUUUCAUCCUGAAACCAUCCCCCUGCCCCUGGUCCAUGGAAAAAUUGUCUUCCACGAAACUGGUCCCUGGUGCCAAAAGGUUGGUAAAGUUUACAUCAUUGGCUCUUAAAACUUUUUUCCCCUAGGCUGAUGCAAUGGGUCAUUCCUAUAAUCCUAGCACUUUGGGAGGCCGAGGUGGGCAGACUGCUUUGAGCUCAGGAGUUCCAGACCAGCCUGGGCAACAUGGUGAAACACCAUUUCUACAAAAAAUAAAAAUAAAAAUAAAAAAAUUAGCCGGGUGUGGUGGCACACACCUGUAAUCCUAGCUACUGGGGAGGCUGAGGCAGGAAGAUCACUUGAACCCAAAAGGCAGAGGUUGCAGUGAGCCAAGAUGGCACCACUGCACUCCAGGCUGGGUGACAGAGUGAGACCCUGUCUCAAAUUCCUCGAGGAUCAAGAAAAAAUAAGCUCAGCAGAUAGAGCCAAUCAUAUAUGAAGAAAUCAGGGAAUGUGAUCUCAGGGUCUUGAAGGUUCACAAAUGGAUCAGUGGAGAAGAUGGACUUAGGAAUCUAGAAUUUUUCUCUGAAAAAGCAUACUAGCAAACCCCUAAGGAAAGAGAAAAAUUCCAAGCCCACUUAGUGGCCAUGAGUCUGUGUUGGUGUCACCAGUCUGGGGUUACCAGCCUCACAGAGACAGGGCUUCCCAACUUGGUCCUAGAUGGUGGGAUCAAUUGUCCCAGCAGCUGAAGACUAAAAACAGCCCUGGCUUUCAGCCCUGGCUUUUAGAUCCCAGGCACAUUCUCCAGAACCCAGACCCACUGUUCAUUUGCAUUUGCUCUCCUUUAGUCAUUGGUUGAAUUGGAAAAGGCUCUCCAGAGGUUUGUCCUUAGGGCCUCCCCCUUAGGCACUGGUACCCUGUCUGGAGGCCUACACCAGCCUCUUUCUGGCUUCUCAGAACUACUGGGGGUUUUUUUGCCAUUACUUAUUUCUGGUGUGCACUUUUGGAGAAAGUUUUCCCUUUUAAGUUUUCUCUCUGAUAAUUUGAUGUGUUUACUGCCUAUCAGUUUAAAUUGGUUGACUCUCUAGUCUCAUUUAAGGGAUUGUAUAUGAAAAAAAAGUUAUAAAAAAAGGCAUAAUCUAAACCGGUAAGCCUAAAAAGUUUUUUUAAACCUAUACUUAGGUUCUGUAAAUUUUCAUUUGUGAUAGCUUUAAUUUAAUUUCUUUGUUUUAUAACCAGGAUUCAGCAGAAGGACUCUCCAUGUUUACCGGAGAAGAGGAAAUCUUUGCAUUUCAGCGCACGAUUUCCCGACUCACGGAAAUGCAGACUGAACAGUACUGGAACGAAAGAGACAGAACCAAGAAGUAACUGUCACUUUUGCAUAAAUAAAACUCUAGACAAAUGGUUA
rnacentral:sRNA from 1 species